CCUACGGGUGACAGCAGUGGGGGAUAUUGCACAAUGGGGGAAACCCUGAUGCAGCGACGCCGCGUGGGUGAAGAAGCGCCUCGGCGCGUAAAGCCCUGUCAGCAGGGAAGAAAAUGACGGUACCUGAAGAAGAAGCCCCGGCUAACUACGUGCCAGAAGCCGCGGUAAUACGUAGGGGGCAAGCGUGAUCCGGAUUUACUGGGUGUAAAGGGGGCGCAGACGGCGAUGCAAGCCAGGAGUGAAAGCCCGGGGCCCAACCGCGGGACUGCUCUUGGAACGGGGUGGCUAGAGGGCAGGAGGGGCAGGCGGAAGUGCUGGAGUAGAGGUGAGAUGCG
rnacentral:rRNA from 1 species